AAUUAGGUUCACAAGAUUAAAUUAUUUUUGAAAUAUUUAAUUUAAGGUAUAAAAUUAAUUCUAGAAAACCUAGAAUUAUUAUUUAAGCCAAGAAAAUACUUUGAAUGGUUUAACAAUUUGGGGUGAAAUUCUUCUAAAAAAAAGGAACAUGAAGAAUCCAAAUAAGGUAUUUGGAGCUCAUGGUAAGAUAAUUUGGAGCAUCUGAAAAUUAGAUUAUGCUCACAGAAAAGUGGGA
rnacentral:lncRNA from 1 species